rnacentral:rRNA from 1 species
ACGCUGGCGGCGUGCCUAAUACAUGCCAGUCGAGCGAACGGACGAGAAGCUUGCUUCUCUGAUGUUAGCGGCGGACGGGUGAGUAACACGUGGAUAACCUACCUAUAAGACUGGGAUAACUUCGGGAAACCGGAGCUAAUACCGGAUAAUAUUUUGAACCGCAUGGUUCAAAAGUGAAAGACGGUCUUGCUGUCACUUAUAGAUGGAUCCGCGCUGCAUUAGCUAGUUGGUAAGGUAACGGCUUACCAAGGCAACGAUGCAUAGCCGACCUGAGAGGGUGAUCGGCCACAGUGGAACUGAGACACGGUCCAGACGCCUACGGGAGGCAGCAGUAGGGAAUCUUCCGCAAUGGGCGAGAGCCUGACGGAGCAACGCCGCGUGAGUGGUGAAGGUCUUCGGAUCGUAAAACUCUGUUAUUAGGGAAGAACAUAUGUGUACGUAACUGUGCACAUCUUGACGGUACCUAAUCAGAAAGCCACGGCUAACUACGUG